rnacentral:rRNA from 1 species
UACGUAGGGAGCAAGCGUUGUCCGGAAUCAUUGGGCGUAAAGCGCGCGUAGGUGGCUUCGUAAGUCCGUUGUGAAAGUCAAAGGCUCAACCUUUGAAAGCCGAUGGAUACUGUGGAGCUAGAGUACGGAAGAGGCGAGUGGAAAUUCCUGGUGUAGCGGUGGAAAUGCGCAGAUAUCAGGAGGAACACCAAUAGCGAAGGCAGCUCGCUGGGACGUUACUGACACUAAGGCGCGAAAGCGUGGGGAGCGAACAGG